rnacentral:tRNA from 1 species
GGGCCCGUGCCUGAAUGCUUAAGGAACACCUUGAUAGGGUGAACUACAGGGGUUAAAUUCCCCUCAGGCCCU